AGUUGCAUGACGUAGACCCGAAACCGGGUGACCUAUCCAUGAGCAGGUUGAAGUGGAGGUAAAGCUCCAUGGAGGACCGAACCAGACGUCUGUUGAAAAAGGCGGGGAUGACUUGUGGAUAGGGGAGAAAUUCCAAUCGAACCCGGAGAUAGCUGGUUCUCCUCGAAAUAGCUUUAGGGCUAGCCUCAUGGAUCAUUGAUGGGGGUAGAGCACUGAAUGUGCGCGGGGGCCACAAAGCCUACCAAACGCUAUCAAACUUCGAAUACCAUACAAUGCAGACCAUGGGAGUCAGUCCGCGAGAGAUAAGUUCCGCGGGCAAAAGGGGAACACCCCAGAUCAACCGCUAAGGUCCCCAAGUUCACGUUAAGUGGAGAAGGAUGUGGAAUUGCACAGACAACCAGGAUGUUGGCUCAGAAGCAGCCACACAUUUAAAGAGUGCGUAAUAGCUCACUGGUCGAGUGAUUGUGCGCCGAAGAUGUCCGGGGCUAAACGUGACACCGAAGCGAUGGGUGCAUCUGAAGAAGAUGCGCGGUAGAGGAGCAAUGUGCAGAGGCAGAAGCCGUAUCGAGAGGCACGGUGGACACUGCACAAGAGAGAAUGCCGGUAUGAGUAGCGAGAGGCAUGCGAGAAACAUGCCCGUCGAAAGCCCAAGGUUUCCUGGGGAAGGUUCAUCCGCCCAGGGUAAGUCGGGGCCUAAGCCGAGGACGGAAGUCGUAGGCGAUGGACAGCAGGUGUAGAUUCCUGCACUACCGAUGGAAUGAAGCAGUGACACAGAAGGAUAACUCGAGCAGGGUGAUGGUCAACCCUGUGCAAGCAUCAAGGUUGGGUUGUAGUGAAGUACGCAACCCUAUAAGCUGAGAUGUGAUGCGGACCGAAAUUUCAGUAGGGAAGCGAGUGAGUUCACGCUGGCGAGAAAAGCUGCUAGUACAUCCAAAGGUACCCGUACCGGAAACCGACGCAGGUGGGCGAGGAGAGAAUCCUGAGACGAACGGGAGAACCCUUGUUAAGGAACUCGGCAAAAUGACCCCGUAACUUCGGGAUAAGGGGUGCCUGCGAGAGCAGGCCGCAGAGAAUAGUCACAAGCGACUGUUUAGCAAAAACACAGGUAUCUGCGAAAGCGAGAGCUGACGUAUAGGUGCUGACACCUGCCCGGUGCUGGAAGGUUAAGGGAACAUGUUAGAGCAAUCGAAGCAUCGAACCGAAGCCCCAGUAAACGGCGGCCGUAACUAUAACGGUCCUAAGGUAGCGAAAUUCCUUGUCGGGUAAGUUCCGACCCGCACGAAUGGUGUAACGACUUGUGAGCUGUCUCAACAGGGGGCCCGGUGAAAUUGAAGUAUGGGUGAAGAUGCCCAUUACCCGCGACUGGACGGAAAGACCCCGUAGAGCUUUACUGCAGCCUGAUAUUGAGUUUCGGUAACUGAUGCACAGGAUAGGUGGGAGUCUGAGAGACA
rnacentral:rRNA from 1 species